rnacentral:rRNA from 1 species
GAUGAACGCUAGCUACAGGCUUAACACAUGCAAGUCGAGGGGAAACGGCAUUAAGUGCUUGCACUUUUUGGACGUCGACCGGCGCACGGGUGAGUAACGCGUAUCCAACCUUCCCAUGACUAAGGGAUAACCUGCCGAAAGGCAGACUAAUACCUUAGGGUCUUCACUGACGGCAUCAGAUGUGAAGUAAUGGUUUAUCGGUUAUGGAUGGGGAUGCGUCUGAUUAGCUUGUUGGCGGGGUAACGGCCAACCAAGGCAACGAUCAGUAGGGGUGCUGAGAGGAAGGCACCCCAGAUUGGAACCGCGAUACAGACCAAACUCCUACGGGAGGCAGCAGUGAGGAAUACUGGGCGAUGGGCGAGAGCCUGAACCAGCCAAGUAGCGUGCAGGAGGACGGCCCUAUGGGUUGUAAACUGCUUUUGGAGGGGGACAAAGUCAAUCACGUGUGAUUGUUUGCAGGUACCAUACGAAUAAGGACCGGCUAAUUCCGUG